GUUCAAUUAUUUAAUAUAUCCUGGAACGGGUACAUGACUACCCAUGCGCAUUUCGCUUAACUAAAGCUUCCUCAGGGCUAUAGUGAUGUGCGCCCGCCAUUCCUGACGGCUUUAUAAUACACAAUAGCCAAUAAGAGGGGGUUUUCUUAUCGUAGCUCCAAUCUGGGACUAUGUUCGAUAAUUCAAAAAUCUGUCCGUUGCAACCAAUUUGUGACGUACCCAGGACAUCACCCCCUACCAAUGCUUCAUGCCGUGAUCUGUUAUGCCGGAUGUCGUCACUCAUUGCCCGCUGGGUGGUCCCGGAAUCUGUAUACUUAUGCUGCCGUAAUCUAUCAUGCACGAUUCCAUCUCUUACCAGCCGCUGGACAAUCCCGGAAUCUGUAUAAUGGUGCUGCAUGCAUCUGAUUCCUAAUCCAUUAUAGAUUCCUUCAGGGAUCCACAGACGGAAGGGGAGCUAAUGUCCUUUCCGACGAUCUUCACGGAUUCAAUGCACUACUCCUCAAUUGACCACUACGGCUUAUUACAGUCAAGAAUUUACACCUGGUUCACCAGGUUCGCGUGAUGAUGGAGAACCGGCUCGAUUAAUUACGUGACGGGAUGCUACUGGAAGAAAGGAGUACCGGCA